GAUGAACGCUGGCGGCGUGCCUAAUACAUGCAAGUCGAGCGAACGGACGAGAAGCUUGCUUCUCUGAUGUUAGCGGCGGACGGGUGAGUAACACGUGGAUAACCUACCUAUAAGACUUGGAUAACUUCGUGAAACCGGAGCUAAUACCGGAUGAUAUUUUGAACCGCAUGGUUCAAAAGUGAAAGACGGUCUUGCUGUCACUUAUAGAUGGAUCCGCGCUGCAUUAGCUAGUUGGUAAGGUAACGGCUUACCAAGGCAACGAUGCAUAGCCGACCUGAGAGGGUGAUCGGCCACACUGGAACUGAGACACGGUCCAGACUCCUACGGGAGGCAGCAGUAGGGAAUCUUCCGCAAUGGGCGAAAGCCUGACGGAGCAACGCCGCGUGAGUGAUGAAGGUCUUCGGAUCGUAAAACUCUGUUAUUAGGGAAGAACAUAUGUGUAAGUAACUGUGCACAUCUUGACGGUACCUAAUCAGAAAGCCACGGCUAACUACGUG
rnacentral:rRNA from 1 species